AUUGAACGCUGGCGGCAGGCCUAACACAUGCAAGUCGAACGAGUGGCGGACGGGUGAGUAGUGUCUGGGAAACUGGCUAAUGUAGGGGGAUAACUACUGGAAACGUUAGCUAAUACCGCAUACCCUGCGAUGUGCCCAGAUGGGAUUAGCUAGUGGGUGGGGAAAAGGCUUACCUUGGCGACGAUCCAUAGCUGGUCUGAGAGGCUGAACAGCCACACUGGAACUGAGACACGGUCCAGACUCCUACGGGAGGCAGCAGUGGGGAAUAUUGCACAAUGGGCGAAAGUCUGAUGGAGCCAUGCCGCGUGUAUGAAGAAGGCCUUCGGGUUGUAAAGUACUUUCAGCGGAGAGGCGUUACCCACAUAAGAAGCACCGGCUAACUCCGUGCCAGCAGCCGCGGUAAUAC
rnacentral:rRNA from 1 species